UGCGCAGUCGUCUAAUUGGUAGGACGUGAGGGUUUGGUCCUCAAAAUACAGGUUCGAAGCCUGUCUGCGCAUCCA
rnacentral:tRNA from 1 species